rnacentral:rRNA from 1 species
GAUGAACGCUGGCGGCGUGCCUAACACAUGCAAGUCGAGCGGUAACACUUCGGGUGACGAGCGGCGGACGGCAGAGUAACGCGUAGGAACGUACCUCAAACUGAGGAAUAAGCACCGGAAACGGUGUCUAAUACCGCAUAUUAUCUUCGGAUCAAAGCUUCGGCGGUUUGGGAGCGGCCUGCGUCUGAUUAGCUAGUUGGUGAGGUAAAAGCUCACCAAGGCGACGAUCAGUAGCUGGUUUGAGAGGAUGACCAGCCUGACUGGAACUGAGAACGGUCCAGACUCCUAUGGGAGGCAGCAGUGGGGAAUUUUUCGCAAUGGGGGAAACCCUGACGGAGCAACGCCGCGUGCAGGAGGAAGGCCUUCGGGUUGUAAACUGCUUUUAUUGGUGACGAUUAUGACAGUAGCCAAUGAAUAAGGACCUGCUAACUACGUGCCAGCCGCCGCAGUAA